AUACGUAGGGGGCGAGCGUUGUCCGGAAUGAUUGGGCGUAAAGGGCGCGUAGGCGACCCGGUAAGUCUGGAGUGAAAGUCCUGUUUUUAAGAUGGGAAUUGCUUUGGAUACUGUCGGGCUUGAGUGCAGGAGAGGUAAGUGGAAUUCCCAGUGUAGCGGUGAAAUGCGUAGAGAUUGGGAGGAACACCAGUGGCGAAGGCGACUUACUGGACUGUAACUGACGCUGAUGCGCGAAAGUGUGGGGAGCAAACAGGAUUAGAUACCCUGGUAGUCCACACUGUAAACGAUGAAUGCUAGGUUUAGGGGGUAUCGACCCCUUCUGUGCCGCAGUCAACACAAUAAGCAUUCCGCCUGGGGAGUACGGCCGCAAGGUUGAAACUCAAAUGAAUUGACGGGG
rnacentral:rRNA from 1 species